rnacentral:rRNA from 1 species
GAUGAACGCUAGCUACAGGCUUAACACAUGCAAGUCGCGGGGUAACAUCUGGGAGAGCUUGCUCUUCCAGGAUGACGACCGGCGCACGGGUGAGUAACGCGUAUCCAACCUGGCCCAUACCACGGGAUAGCCCGUCGAAAGGCGGAUUAAUACCGUAUGCUGUCAUUAAGAGGCAUUUUUUGAUGACGAAAGGACUGGCGGUAUGGGAUGGGGAUGCGUCUGAUUAGCUUGUUGGCGGGGUAACGGCCCACCAAGGCGACGAUCAGUAGGGGUUCUGAGAGGAAGGUCCCCCACAUUGGAACUGAGACACGGUCCAAACUCCUACGGGAGGCAGCAGUGAGGAAUAUUGGUCAAUGGGGCGCAAGCCUGAACCAGCCAAGUAGCGUGAGGGAAGACUGCCCUACGGGUUGUAAACCUCUUUUGUUUGGGAAUAAAGUGCGGGACGUGUCCCGCAUUGCAUGUACCAUUUGAAUAAGGACCGGCUAAUUCCGUG